rnacentral:misc_RNA from 1 species
GUCAACUGCAUCGGCCGGAGUAUUGAUCUUCUUGUAUUUCAGUAUUUGGAAUAAUUUGCAAGUUAUUAAAAUAAUAACAUAAAUGCAUGGAUUUCAGCAAUGUCAGAUCCAAGAUACGAAACUCAUCUCUAAGCCCUUCAUUUGUUCAUAAAAUAGAACAUCUUUAAUAUAUAUAAUAUUUCUUCUGGCAGAUAAACUACCAUCACCAUCACAAAAUUCUAUUAAUAAUCCACUUCUCACUGGUCAAAUGAGCUAAUGGUAAUGUGAUACUUUCUCUCUCCAUCGUAAGCGAUUUUCCUUUUUUCCUCAUUUUCAGUUCACCGGAGAGAAAG